GGGCUUUUCCGCCGGAAGGAGAGGGGAUUUACUAGGAAGGUGGGACGUUGGAGGGGAAGUCGCGUGGAGUAAGUCGUGUCUCUGGCCACCCAGCAGAGCCAGUGACAGCAGCGUCCUGGUAGGCAGGCAGGCGUAUCAGGUUUCAGAGGAUGCGGCUGGGAACGGGAGUAGAGGUGAGAGGUCGUUGCAUCUGUCGCUGUGUGUAUCUUUUGGAGGUUCAGCGCCACCAGCGGCCUGGGCCUCAUUCAUCGCGCUUACAUUUCUCCACCUCAUUUGAAGAACAAGCUUGGUAGCCCACGGAGCUGAGCUAUAUGAGCUCCCUGAAAGCACAAAGCAGUUAUUUCCAUCUUCAGAUCAUUCAGAGAUUAUGAAGGCACAAACCCUGCCUUCAAUUUGCUUAUAGUCAAGUGGAGCAGACACAAGUCAAUGAUUGCAGUAUAGCCACUUAAGUAAUCUAAAAGAGGUGAGUGUGGCACUAAACCUCUCCUGGGAGGGGGAGGAAUAAGGCAGUGUUUCCAAGAGGUGAUUUUGGAGCUAUACAGGCAUUAGGUAGACAAGGAAGGGGAGGUCCAUUCUGGGUGCCUAGGACUCUGUGGCUGAUUUAUAAAUUGUAAAUGGUACAAAAAACAGUGUUGAGUAUCUUUUACCUUUCUCCAGAGUACUGUUCUUACUUUUGGAUUGUGCUUCUUGUUUUUUCCUUCCCUCUCCCUGUCACCUUUAAAUUAAAUGAAUGUUUGGAAGGAAGUAGGAGGGUAAGAAUCUUUCUGGGUGGCAGAAUAAUAGAUGGGUCUACCAGCAGCAAUAUAUAUACCCAGUAAAGCCAUCUCUAAAACUGUGUUUCUGCAUUGUUACAGUGCAUAGUUGGGAAAUCUCAGUUUUGUUGGCUGUGUACUUUCCCAGUGAAUGGAUUAUAUUCCUUUCUGCGAUCCAGUCUGUUUGAAUUUAAGGGCAUCUCUUAAAUUCCUUUCAAGCAAGAGACCUAACAUUUAGACUUAGGAAUGAGAGUAGGAGAGACAGCAAGGUUAGAAUCCAAGUUCAUACUACCCAAAUAUUUUUAUUGGCUAUGUCUGAGUGACUACAUGUUGUUUGAAUCAGCUGCAGGCUAAUUUGUAACAUUUCAAAUAAAUGUUAGUUUAACUCCUCCAGGAUUUGAGUAAGGUGAAAAUAGAGCUAAAAACCAUGAUUCUGUCAUAGUCUGGGAAAAUGAAAAAGCAAUCAAUUAGUGAGUUGGGCUUAAUUUUUUUUUUUCUGGAAUUGGUGAUGGCAGAAAACAAGCAGUAAAGUAGUCAGACGUGAUACACUUGACAAGAACCACCACCUGUUCAGUAGCAACUCUAAAAUAAGUACUAACUUAGGGGCAGUUGUUGUGCCCAGGUCAUAGUCAUACUCCUUCCAGGGGACCUCCUGAUGACAGAAAAGAUGCUGACCAGCGGGGGUCUUCUUUCCAAAUAACAAACUUUUCUCUUGCAUUAAUUAACCAUUGGUUACAGUGAAACAAGCAUAUGUACAGAGUUAAUCUCCUAUAGCUUGAAGUUAUAAAUGAUCUUUGAGUAUCUUGACAUGUUAAAGGACAGUGUUUUAAAAGCUGGAUUUAGUUAUGUUCUUCUGGAGACUAAGAAAAUAGAGUCCUUGAAAUCAAGCUGACUCUGCUUUUAGCCUCCUAAAUGAAAAGGUAGAUAGAACAGGUCUUGUUUGCAAAAUAAAUUCAAGACCUACUUAUCUACCAACAGCAAUUACACACUUUCCAUUGUCUUUCUAUAGAAAAUAGGAGUAGUACACUUAUAGAUGAGAAAACUGGAGAAAGACAUAGUGAACAUGUGAGAAUCUUGCUCUACUAAUUGAUAGGAAGGUGACUAGAAAUUGGAGAAGUUGUCUUGGUAAGUUGAGGAGAGGACUUUUCUUAUAAUGCAGUCUGGUAGCUGAACCUCCUUGCAUCAAAAGCAAUACAGUCUUAUUUACAGAAUGCCACAUCACAGUGAAUUGUACUGUGGACAGCUUCCAGUGUGUGAGUUGUGGAAGAUGAUGAUUUUAACAGAUUUUGGAGGAUGAGAAGUAUUAAGAAAAAGGCCCCACUGCCCAUGCAUUUGCUCUGCUUUUUACUUUUGACCAAGUAUACACUUCAGAAAUAUCUUAUUGGAUGUGUACAAGUGAUUGUGUGUCAUUUGAACCAGCAGGAAGUAAUUUAUUAAACACACUUUUCUAAAUAAAAGUUAUUUAAUUUUAUCAGAAAUCAGUGUCAUUUUAGAUUGCAAGUCUCAAACCAACUUUCCAAUUCUGACUUGUAAGGGUGCCUUAAAUUCUGAAUACUGUACUCUGUAUUACUAAACCCAUGUUCAUUUACACCAAGAUUCUGUGGUGGUUUUACAUAUUCUUUUUCCCGUUUGUUAAGGUGGGGAGGCCACAGCUUAUGUGAAUGACUUUCUCAGGAGUUAUAAAGUGAUACAGGUAAAGCUAAGAAAAGAACAGAUUUUGAUAUUUUUUGUUUUAACUGUCCAGUGUUAGGGAUUGUGGCUACAGUGGUCUAAUUUUUAAAAACUCCUUUUUUGCUUUGUUUUUUAACAGACUUAUCAGCAGGUUGCAGGUGAACAUGGCCUUGAGGUAAAUCCUGUCCCUUGCUGAAUACAGUUUCAGUACAUUGUUUAUAGUAGUUUCAGGAAUUGAGAUUUUUUACAAAAAUACAAAAGUUUUGCUUGGUUCUGUUCUAGAUGUUUUUCUUCUAAAUAAAUGAGAAAGAUGUUUCAACAAAGGCUCUUUAUGCUGAAUAAUUUGAUGCUAGAAGUUGCUAAUCUGCUUUAAGUGGAUUUUAAAUGUCAGACAAUUCUAGACAGUUUUUUCUUGGUCAAAUAAAAAUGUAAUUAAAACUUUA